CGAGGAUGAAGAGGAGGAGGAGGAGGAUGAAGAGGACGAGGAGGAUGAGGAUGAAACUUUAGAAUUCUUCGCGAGGACGACACUUGGCAGCGGACGUUCGAUGUUCAUUUCUUGAACGAAACUCACCGUUUUCCUUGUACCACGUGUUCGAAGCUCUAGGCGAAGAUUCGACGUAACAUUGCAGAAUGACAUUGCUAUUCGUUGGAGCAGCUACCAAUUGAUUCGUCACUUUGAUCAAGGGCUUAACUGUUCUUCGUGUACUCGCACUUGAAGGGUAGAACGUGGUCCGCAUUUCCAAACGUUACCAUCUUUGUCGAGUAUGCUAGCACUUGCAGUUACUUGAUAUUGACCACCACCGGUCGUCGAAUUGCCGGUAUUAGUCGAUGUACUCGCACAUCCUACGGCCGAGGCCGCCACGCUUCCAAGGGAAAGUAAAAAUUCGCAGGCGAAGAAAUCGCGAUGGGGUGUUACCGUUUGAUGCAACUCGUUCAUGUUUGUAUCCUGUACAUAGAAACUUUAUAUAAAGAAUUCUUUUAUACGA